UCGCCUGUUUAUCAAAAACAUCUUCUUUAGGUUUUUUUAAAGGUUGGGCCUGCUCUAUGAGUUUACUUAAAUGGCCGCGGUAUAUUAACUGUGCUAAGGUAGCAUAAUAAUUAGUCUUUUAAUUGAGGUCUGGUAUGAAUGGUUUGACGAAGGAUUUUCUUUAUUAGUUUUAAUUUUUAGAAUUUUAAUUUUAAGUUAAAAUGCUUAAAUUUUUGUGAGGGACGAUAAGACCCUAUAGAUCUUUAAAAUUUAAAUUUUGUUUUUGGUUGAUUUUAUAAUUUUUUAUUUUUUUGUUGGGGUGAUAGAUAAAAUUUUUGAACUUUAUUUUUUUAUGUCAUUGAUUUAUGAUUUUAUUGUUCCUUUAUUAUGGAUUAAAAGUUAAAGAUACCUUAGGGAUAACAGCGUUAUGAAUUUGGGGAGUUCUUAUCUAUAAAUUUGUUUGCGACCUCGAUGUUGAAUUAAGGUUAAUUGAUGGGGUAGGUUUUAUCAAUUUAGGUCUGUUCGACCUUUAAAAUU
rnacentral:rRNA from 1 species